GAUGAACGCUGGCGGCGUGCCUAAUACAUGCAAGUCGAGCGAACAGACGAGGAGCUUGCUCCUCUGACGUUAGCGGCGGACGGGUGAGUAACACGUGUAUAACCUACCUAUAAGACUGGGAUAACUUCGGGAAACCGGAGCUAAUACCGGAUAAUAUAUUGAACCGCAUGGUUCAAUAGUGAAAGACGGUUUUGCUGUCACUUAUAGAUGGAUCCGCGCCGCAUUAGCUAGUUGGGAGGGUAACGGCUUACCAAGGCAACGAUGCGUAGCCGACCUGAGAGGGUGAUAGGCCACCUUGGAACUGAGACACGGUCAAGACUACUACGGGAGGGAGCAGUAGGGAAUGUUACGCAAUGGUCGAAAGCCUGACGGAGCAACGCCGAGUGAGUGAUGAAGGUCUCCGGAUCGUAAAAAUCGGUUAUUAGUGAAGAACAAAUGUGUAAGUAACUAUGUACGUCUUGACGGUAACUAAUCAGAAAGCAACGGCUAACUACGUG
rnacentral:rRNA from 1 species